AUGCACGCUGGCGGCGUGCCUAAUACAUGCAAGUCGAGCGAACAGACGAGGAGCUUGCUCCUCUGACGUUAGCGGCGGACGGGUGAGUAACACGUGGAUAACCUACCUAUAAGACUGGGAUAACUUCGGGAAACCGGAGCUAAUACCGGAUAAUAUAUUGAACCGCAUGGUUCAAUAGUGAAAGACGGUUUUGCUGUCACUUAUAGAUGGAUCCGCGCCGCAUUAGCUAGUUGGUAAGGUAACGGCUUACCAAGGCGACGAUGCGUAGCCGACCUGAGUGGGUGAUCGGCCACACUGGAACUGAGACACGGUCCAGACUCCUACGGGAGGCAGCAGUAGGGAAUCUUCCGCAAUGGGCGAAAGCCUGACGGAGCAACGCCGCGUGAGUGAUGAAGGUCUUCGGAUCGUAAAACUCUGUUAUUAGGGAAGAACAAAUGUGUAAGUAACUAUGCACGUCUUGACGGUACCUAAUCAGAAAGCCACGGCUAACUACGUG
rnacentral:rRNA from 1 species